rnacentral:rRNA from 1 species
GAGUUUGAUCCUGGCUCAGGAUGAACGCUAGCGGCAGGCUUAACACAUGCAAGUCGAGGGGUAGAGGAAGCUUGCUUCCUUGAGACCGGCGCACGGGUGCGUAACGCGUAUGCAAUCUACCUUAUACAGGGGGAUAGCCCAGAGAAAUUUGGAUUAAUACCCCAUAGUAUAAUUGAAUGGCAUCAUUUAAUAUUAAAGUUCCAACGGUAUAGGAUGAGCAUGCGUCCCAUUAGCUAGUUGGUGUGGUAACGGCACACCAAGGCGACGAUGGGUAGGGGUCCUGAGAGGGAGAUCCCCCACACUGGUACUGAGACACGGACCAGACUCCUACGGAAGGCAGCAGUGAGGAAUAUUGGUCAAUGGGCGCAAGCCUGAACCAGCCAUGCCGCGUGCAGGAUGACGGUCCUAUGGAUAGUAAACUGCUUUUGUACAGGAAGAAACACUCCCUCGUGAGGGAGCUUGACGGUACUGUAAGAAUAAGGAUCGGCUAACUCCGUG